rnacentral:rRNA from 1 species
AGAGUUUGAUCCUGGCUCAGAACGAACGCUGGCGGCGUGGAUAAGACAUGCAAGUCGAGCGAUCGUUAACGGGUAGCAAUAUUCGUUAGCGGGAGCGGCGCAAGGGUGCGUAACACGUGGGUAAUCUGCCGUGAAGUUUGGGAUAAUCCCGCGAAAGCGGGACUAAUACCGGAUGUGACCAUUGGGAGGCAUCUUCUGAUGGUUAACGUUGGGGACCGUAAGGCCUGACGCUUCAUGAUGAACCCGCGGCCUAUCAGCUAGUUGGUGAGGUAACGGCUCACCAAGGCUAAGACGGGUAGCUGGUCUGAGAGGACGACCAGCCACACUGGAACUGAGACACGGUCCAGACACCUACGGGUGGCAGCAGUCGAGAAUUUUUCACAAUGGGCGCAAGCCUGAUGGAGCGACGCCGCGUGGGGGAUGAAUGGCUUCGGCCCGUA